CCUACGGGGGGCAGCAGUGGGGAAUAUUGCACAAUGGGGGGAACCCUGAUGCAGCGACGCCGCGUGAAGGAAGAAGGUUUUCGGAUCGUAAACUUCUAUCAGCAGGGAAGAAGGAAGUGACAGUACCUGACUAAGAAGCCCCGGCUAACUACGUGCCAGCAGCCGCGGUAAUACGUAGGGGGCAAGCGUUAUCCGGAAUCACUGGGUGUAAAGGGUGCGUAGGCGGUAGGGCAAGUCAGAUGUGAAAGCCCGGGGCUCAACCCCGGGACUGAAUUUGAAACUGUCUUACUAGAGUGCAGGAGAGGAAAGCGGAAUGCCUAGUGUAGCGGUGAAAGGCGUAGAUAUUAGGAAGAACACCAGGGGCGAAGGGGGCUUUCUGGACUGUAACUGACGCUGGGGCACGAAAGCGGGGGGAGCGAAAAGGAUUAGAUCCCCGAGUAGUC
rnacentral:rRNA from 1 species